AUUAACGCUGGCAGGGUGCAUAACACAUGCAAGUCGAGCGAGGGUGGCGGCGUAUCGCGCUCUAGCGGCAGACGAGUGAGUAACACGUAAGCAACCUUCCCUGAAAUGGUGAACAACCACUCGAAAGAGUGGCUAAUACACCGUACUGUCCUUGAUAGGCAUCUAUUAAGGAUGAUAGGCCCGCAAGGGUUGUUUCAGGAGGGGCUUGCGUCCCAUCAGCUAGUUGGCGGGGUAAAAGCCCACCAAGGCUAUGACGGGUACCCGGCCUGAAAGGGCGGACGGGCACGAAGGCACUGCGACACGGGCCUUACUCCUACGGGAGGCAGCAGUGGGGAAUUUUGGACAAUGGGGGAAACCCUGAUCCAGCAACUCUGCGUGAGGGACGAAGUCUUUCGGGAUGUAAACCUCUUUUGUCGGGGAAGAAUGCUCGCAAGAGCUUGACGGUACCCGGCGAAUAAGCCACGGCUAACUAUGU
rnacentral:rRNA from 1 species